ACAACAAUUGUAUAUCAAGCAAUUCAAACAUUACAACCAAUACAAUUAUCCCAAAUUGUACAAAAAUAUGUCAAAUAACACAUAAACAAAUAUCAUACAACAAGGGUGAAAAGUAGGCAAUACCACCAGGGAAGGUCUAAUUUUAUCCCCAGAAGAGUCGCCACUUUUCUGUAGCGGUGUAUUCGUCGCUAUAUGAUUUAUUGAUUAAACCAUAAGCAAAGCAUACAA
rnacentral:lncRNA from 1 species